rnacentral:tRNA from 1 species
UCUCUGUUGACUCAGUGGUAAAGAAUCUGCCUGCAGUGCAGGAGAUGCAGGUUCAAUCCCUGGAUCAAGAA